GUGUUGUAUGAAAGGAGAGAAGGUUAGCCCCUCCUUGACAAGGAUGGAAGAAAAAAUGAGUGGUUGAUAGAGGAUUAAAUUAAAAUUAUAU
rnacentral:ncRNA from 1 species